rnacentral:rRNA from 1 species
UAAUAAGCAGGGCCACCCGCUCAGUUUAAGCAUAUCAAUAAGCGGAAGGAA